AGCCAGCUUGGGGGAGCGAAUGUAAGGGAUGGGAGGGAGCCAGCUUGGGGGAGGGAGUAAAGGGAUGGGAGGGAGCCAGCUU